rnacentral:rRNA from 1 species
CCUACGGGAGGCUGCAGUGGGGAAUAUUGGACAAUGGGCGAAAGCCUGAUCCAGCCAUGCCGCGUGUGUGAAGAAGGCCUUCGGGUUGUAAAGCACUUUCAGUGGGGAAGAAAGCCUUGGGGCUAAUACCCUCGAGGAAGGACAUCACCCACAGAAGAAGCACCGGCUAACUCCGUGCCAGCAGCCGCGGUAAUACGGAGGGUGGCGAGCGUUAAUCGGAAUUACUGGGCGUAAAGCGCGCGUAGGCGGUCUGAUAAGCCGGUUGUGAAAGCCCCGGGCUCAACCUGGGAACGGCAUCCGGAACUGUCAGGCUAGAGUGCAGGAGAGGAAGGUAGAAUUCCCGGUGUAGCGGUGAAAUGCGUAGAGAUCGGGAGGAAUACCAGUGGCGAAGGCGGCCUUCUGGACUGACACUGACGCUGAGGUGCGAAAGCGUGGGUAGCAAACAGGAUUAGAUACCCCGGUAGUC